AUUGAACGCUGGCGGCAUGCCUUACACAUGCAAGUCGAACGGUAACAGGUCUUCGGAUGCUGACGAGUGGCGAACGGGUGAGUAAUACAUCGGAACGUGCCUAGUAGUGGGGGAUAACUACUCGGAAGAGUGGCUAAUACCGCAUGAGAUCUACGGAUGAAAGCAGGGGAUCGCAAGACCUUGUGCUACUAGAGCGGCCGAUGGCAGAUUAGGUAGUUGGUGGGAUAAGAGCUUACCAAGCCGACGAUCUGUAGCUGGUCUGAGAGGACGAUCAGCCACACUGGGACUGAGACACGGCCCAGACUCCUACGGGAGGCAGCAGUGGGGAAUUUUGGACAUGGGCGAAAGCCUGAUCCAGCAAUGCCGCGUGCAGGAUGAAGGCCUUCGGGUUGUAAACUGCUUUUGUACGGAACGAAAAGCCCCGGGUUAAUACCCUGGGGUCAUGACGGUACCGUAAGAAUAAGCACCGGCUAACUACGUGCCAGCAGCCGCGGUAA
rnacentral:rRNA from 1 species